rnacentral:rRNA from 1 species
GAUGAACGCUAGCUACAGGCUUAACACAUGCAAGUCGCGGGGCAGCAUGGGGGUUGCUUGCAAUCCCCGAUGGCGACCGGCGCACGGGUGAGUAACGCGUAUCCAACCUGCCCUUCACCACGGGAUAACCCGGCGAAAGUCGGACUAAUACCGUAUGUUGUCCAUUGACGGCAUCCGAUUUGGACGAAAGGUUUGGCGGGGAAGGAUGGGGAUGCGUCCGAUUAGCUGGACGGCGGGGUGACGGCCCACCGUGGCGACGAUCGGUAGGGGUUCUGAGAGGGAGGUCCCCCACACUGGAACUGAGACACGGUCCAGACUCCUACGGGAGGCAGCAGUGAGGAAUAUUGGUCAAUGGGCGUAAGCCUGAACCAGCCAAGUAGCGUGCAGGAUGACGGCCCUAUGGGUUGUAAACUGCUUUUAUGCGGGGAUAAAGUGGCCCACGUGUGGGUUUUUGCAGGUACCGCAUGAAUAAGGACCGGCUAAUUCCGU